rnacentral:rRNA from 1 species
CCUACGGGGGGCUGCAGUGAGGAAUAUUGGUCAAUGGGCGCGAGCCUGAACCAGCCAAGUCGCGUGAGGGAAGACGGUCCUAUGGAUUGUAAACCUCUUUUGUCGGGGAGCAAAAGACGCCACGCGUGGCGUUCCGCGAGUACCCGAAGAAAAAGCAUCGGCUAACUCCGUGCCAGCAGCCGCGGUAAUACGGAGGAUGCGAGCGUUAUCCGGAUUUAUUGGGUUUAAAGGGUGCGCAGGCGGAAGAUCAAGUCAGCGGUAAAAUUGAGAGGCUCAACAUCUUCGAGCCGUUGAAACUGGUUGUCUUGAGUGAGCGAGAGGUAGGCGGAAUGCGUGGUGUAGCGGUGAAAUGCAUAGAUAUCACGCAGAACUCCGAUUGCGAAGGCAGCAUACCGGCGCCCAACUGACGCUGAAGCACGAAAGCGUGGGUAUCGAACAGGAUUAGAUACCCUUGUAGUC